GAUGAACGCUAGCGGCAGGCUUAAUACAUGCAAGUCGAGGGGCAGCACAGGUAGCAAUACUGGGUGGCGACCGGCAAACGGGUGCGGAACACGUACACAACUUACCUUAGAGUGGGGGAUAGCCCAGGGAAACUUGGAUUAAUACCCCAUAAAACAGGGGGCCCGCAUGGGCAUAUUGUUAAAGAUUUAUCGCUUUAAGAUGGGUGUGCGUAUGAUUAGGUAGUUGGUAGGGUAAAGGCCUACCAAGCCGACGAUCAUUAACUGGUGUGAGCGCACGACCAGUCACACGGGCACUGAGACACGGGCCCGACUCCUACGGGAGGCAGCAGUAAGGAAUAUUGGUCAAUGGACGGAAGUCUGAACCAGCCAUGCCGCGUGAAGGAUGAAGGUCCUCUGGAUUGUAAACUUCUUUUAUAGGGGGCGAAAAAGGGCCAUUCUUGGUCAACUGACGGUACCCUAUGAAUAAGCACCGGCUAACUCCGUGCCAGCAGCCGCAGUAAAAC
rnacentral:rRNA from 1 species